rnacentral:rRNA from 1 species
UACGGGGGGGGCAAGCGUUGUUCGGAAUUACUGGGCGUAAAGGGCUCGUAGGCGGCCAACUAAGUCAUACGUGAAAUCCCUCGGCUUAACCGGGGAACUGCGUCUGAUACUGGAUGGCUUGAGUUCGGGAGAGGGAUGCGGAAUUCCAGGUGUAGCGGUGAAAUGCGUAGAUAUCUGGAGGAACACCGGUGGCGAAGGCGGCAUCCUGGACCGAUACUGACGCUGAGGCGCGAAAGCGUGGGGAGCGAACAGG